rfam:Schistosoma rodhaini strain Burundi genome assembly, scaffold: SROB_contig0000865
AUCCAGCUGACGAGUCCCAAAUAGAACGAAACGCUCAUCAAACUGGAU